GCCUCGGUAGCGCAGUAGGCAGCGCGUAAGUCUCAUAAUCUUAAGGUCGUGAGUUCGACCCUCACCCGGGGCA
rnacentral:tRNA from 1 species